rnacentral:misc_RNA from 1 species
ACACAAACUGUGGUUGCGGAUGUGCACAUCGCCUCUUCACCGAGGGCUCACGAUUGCUGCUGCUGCUCCACACUUGGAUCCAAUCCAUUUACCCCUGUGAACUGUUAAAGUCUUUACAUAGUGUUAAUCACGCCUUGUAAUGCACUCUGACUGAAAUCUAUUCUUGACGCUGUAAGCCGCAAGGCUUUAACGCCGAUGGAAAAACAUAACCAAAGA